rnacentral:rRNA from 1 species
AAACUAAAACAAAAGUGAAACCGCGAAUGGCUCAUUAAAUCAGCUAUUAUUUAUUGGGUGUACCACUAAUAUAAAAGUUACUUGGAUAACUGUGGUAAUUCUAGAGCUAAUACAUGCACAUAUAGUCCCUCGAAGAAACCUUUAAAUACAUCAAGUAUGAUUUUUAGGUGCUUCAACAGGGCGCUUUUAUUAGUAUCAAAACCGGUAUUCUCGGGCUUCGGUCCGUAAAACCCUAGUAUGAUGACUCUGGAUAAUUUUGAGCUGAGCGCACAGUCUUUUGCACUGGCGCCGCUUCUUUCAAGUGUCUGCCUUAUCAGCUGUCGAUUGUAGAUUAUGUGCCUACAAUGGCUAUAACGGGUAACGGGGAAUCAGGGUUCGAUUCCGGAGAGGGAGCCUGAGAAACGGCUACCACAUCUAAGGAAGGCAGCAGGCACGCAAAUUACCCACUCCCAGCUUGGGGAGGUAGUGACGAAAAAUAACGAUGCGAGACUCAUCCGAGGCCUCGCAAUCGGAAUGAGUACACUUUAAAUCCUUUUGCGAGGAUCAAUUGGAGGGCAAGUCUGGUGCCAGCAGCCGCGGUAAUUCCAGCUCCAAUGGCAUAUAUUAAAGUUGUUGCGGUUAAAAUGCUCGUAGUUGGCUUUUUAACACUGUAGCUGAUGGUUGGCUGUAAAUCCUUUAAUUGGUAGGCUAAUCGAACAUGCUCAGUGAUUGCCGUGACAACUUAAAAAUUGUUUGGCUUUUUGGCUGGCUCGCACGGGAUGCUCUUUAUUGAGUGUCCCGAGGUCCCAUUUUCUUAUAUAUCGUUUUCCUUUUUGGAACCCGAGGUAAUGAAUGAAGGGGAUAAACGGGGGCAUAUGUACUGCAACGCUAGAGGUGAAAUUCUUGGACCGUUGUAUGACAAACAACUGCGAAAGCAUUUGCCAAGGAUGUUUUCAUUAAUCAAGAACGAAAGUUAGAGGUUCGAAGGCGAUCAGAUACCGCCCUAGUUCUAACCAUAAACGAUGCUAACCAGCGAUCUGCUGGAGUUAUGUACAUGACUCGGCGGGCAGCUUCCUGGGAAACCAAAGUCUUUGAGUUCCGGGGGAAGUAUGGUUGCAAAGUUGAAACUUAAAGGAAUUGACGGAAGGGCACCACCAGGAGUGGAGCCUGCGGCUUAAUUUGACUCAACACGGGAAACCUCACCAGGUCCGGACACUGGAAGGAUUGACAGAUUGAAAGCUCUUUCUUGAUUCAG